rnacentral:pre_miRNA from 1 species
CGCUCAGUAGUCAGUGUAGAUUCUGUCUCUUCAAUCAGCAGCUACAUCUGGCUACUGGGUCUC